rnacentral:rRNA from 1 species
UCAGAACGAACGCUGGUAGCGUGGAUUAGGCAUGCAAGUCGAACGGGAUCCGGAAGGCAGCAAUGUCGGCCGGUGAGAGUGGCGGAAGGGCGAGGAACACGUGGGCAACCUGUCUUUGAGGUGGGGAAAACCUCGGGAAACUGAGGCUAAUACCGAAUGUGGCGCAGAAGGGCAUCCUUCCUGCGCUAAAGGGGGCGAAAGCUCCCCCUCUUCGAGGGGCUCGCGCACCAUCAGCUAGUUGGCGGGUAACGGCCCACCAAGGCUCACGGUUAGCUGGUCUGAGAGGAUGGCCAGCCGCACUGGGACUGAGAUACUGCCCAGACUCCUACGGGAGGCUGCAGUCGAGGAUCAUUCGCAAUGGGCGAAAGCCUGACGAUGCGACGCUGCGUGGAGGAAUGAAGGCCUUCGGGUUGUAAACUCCUGUCAUGAGGGAAAAGGAGACCCUGCCCAAUACGUAGGGGAUUUGAUGGUACCUCAAGAGGAAGGGACGGCUAACUCUGUGCCAGCAGCGGC